rnacentral:rRNA from 1 species
UACGUAGGGUGCGAGCGUUAAUCGGAAUUACUGGGCGUAAAGAGUGCGUAGGCGGUUUCUCAAGUCCGCUGUGAAAUCCCCGGGCUCAACCUGGGAAUGGCAGUGGAAACUAGGAGACUUGGAAUCUGGCAGAGGGGGGUGGAAUUCCGACGUGUAGCAGUGAAAUGCGUAGAGAUGUGGAGGAACACCGAUGGCGAAGGCAGCCCCCUGGGCUGAGAUUGACGCUCAGGCACGAAAGCGUGGGGAGCAAACAGG